rnacentral:rRNA from 1 species
GACGAACGCUGGCGGCGUGCUUAGCACAUGCAAGUCGAACGGAAAGGCCCUGCUUUUGUGGGGUGCUCGAGUGGCGAACGGGUGAGUAACACGUGAGUAACCUGCCCUUGACUUUGGGAUAACUUCAGGAAACUGGGGCUAAUACCGGAUAGGAGCUCCUGCUGCAUGGUGGGGGUUGGAAAGUUUCGGCGGUUGGGGAUGGACUCGCGGCUUAUCAGCUUGUUGGUGGGGUAGUGGCUUACCAAGGCUUUGACGGGUAGCCGGCCUGAGAGGGUGACCGGCCACAUUGGGACUGAGAUACGGCCCAGACUCCUACGGGAGGCAGCGGUGGGGAAUAUUGCACAAUGGGCGGAAGCCUGAUGCAGCAACGCCGCGUGCGGGAUGACGGCCUUCGGGUUGUAAACCGCUUUCGCCUGUGACGAAGCGUGAGUGACGGUAAUGGGUAAAGAAGCACCGGCUAACUACGUGCCAGCAGCCGCGGUGAUACGUAGGGUGCGAGCGUUGUCCGGAUUUAUUGGGCGUAAAGGGCUCGUAGGUGGUUGAUCGCGUCGGAAGUGUAAUCUUGGGGCUUAACCCUGAGCGUGCUUUCGAUACGGGUUGACUUGAGGAAGGUAGGGGAGAAUGGAAUUCCUGGUGGAGCGGUGGAAUGCGCAGAUAUCAGGAGGAACACCAGUGGCGAAGGCGGUUCUCUGGGCCUUUCCUGACGCUGAGGAGCGAAAGCGUGGGGAGCGAACAGGCUUAGAUACCCUGGUAGUCCACGCUGUAAACGGUGGGUACUAGGUGUGGGGUCCAUUCCACGGGUUCCGUGCCGUAGCUAACGCUUUAAGUACCCCGCCUGGGGAGUACGGCCGCAAGGCUAAAACUCAAAGGAAUUGACGGGGCCCCGCACAAGCGGCGGAGCAUGCGGAUUAAUUCGAUGCAACGCGUAGAACCUUACCUGGGUUUGACAUGGAUCGGGAGUGCUCAGAGAUGGGUGUGCCUCUUUUGGGGUCGGUUCACAGGUGGUGCAUGCCUGUCGUCAGCUCGUGUCGUGAGAUGUUGGGUUAAGUCCCGCAACGAGCGCAACCCUUGUUCACUGUUGCCAGCACGUUAUGGUGGGGACUCAGUGGAGACCGCCGGGGUCAACUCGGAGGAAGGUGGGGAUGACGUCAAGUCCUCAUGCCCCUUAUGUCCAGGGCUUCACGCAUGCUACAAUGGCUGGUACAGAGAGUGGCGAGCCUGUGAGGGUGAGCGAAUCUCGGAAAGCCGGUCUCAGUUCGGAUUGGGGUCUGCAACUCGACCUCAUGAAGUCGGAGUCGCUAGUAAUCGCAGAUCAGCAACGCUGCGGUGAAUACGUUCCCGGG